UUGUGUGAGCCAUUCUAACAACCAAAUCCGACCACUCUCCCUCCCUCAUUCACUCUCAUCUGAUUUUUGAAGACUCUCUCAAGUGUUCUCUCCAUUUUCAACCCCAAGAACACCAAAGAAACUUGGAAGCUAAGUCUUGGUCUUGGAAGGGUUUUCCCUAAGUUGGUUAGGGUUUUUGAAAGGUUUUGAAGGAGUCAAAGCUUAUAGGAAGGUCCAAACCUUAAGCAAGAACACCAAAGAGUAUUUGCUAAGCGUAACUGGACUGAACGUUGGAGGGUGAAAACUUGCUGAGCGCUAAGGACUCCAAGUAAGAGCAAGGGCAAGGCAGAGCAGUGAGCGCUGGAGUCUUCCUUGCAAAUGUACAUGUGGACCGACCUUUUGGGAAGCCUUUUUAUUUUUGGAAAUGUUGUGUAAUUUUCCUAAACUAGGCUCUCUCUAAUCUUUAUAAAACAUGUUUGUAACUAAAUG